AGUGAACGCUGGCGGUAGGCCUAACACAUGCAAGUCGAACGGCAGCACAGUAAGAGCUUGCUCUUACGGGUGGCGAGUGGCGGACGGGUGAGGAAUACAUCGGAAUCUACUUUUUCGUGGGGGAUAACGUAGGGAAACUUACGCUAAUACCGCAUACGACCUACGGGUGAAAGCAGGGGAUCUUCGGACCUUGCGCGAUUGAAUGAGCCGAUGUCGGAUUAGCUAGUUGGCGGGGUAAAGGCCCACCAAGGCGACGAUCCGUAGCUGGUCUGAGAGGAUGAUCAGACACACUGGAACUGAGACACGGUCCAGACUCCUACGGGAGGCAGCAGUGGGGAAUAUUGGACAAUGGGCGAAAGCAUGAUCCAGCCAUACCGCGUGGGUGAAGAAGGCCUUCGGGUUGUAAAGCCCUUUUGUUGGGAAAGAAAAGCAGCAGGUUAAUACCCCGCUGUUCUGACGGUACCCAAAGAAUAAGCACCGGCUAACUUCGUG
rnacentral:rRNA from 1 species